CUGCAAGGCAGAGGGGCCUGGGUCCUUGCCCCCCAGAAGCGGGAGCUUCAAGCUGUCACUGGCAGAGUAAAUGGUUUUAUCUUGUCUGUUCCUUUUUCCUUUGUGCGUCUUCCAAGUUACGUGAUUUGAGUCAAUCUCCAUCGAAGCAGCUGUGUUGCUGCCUCUCUGUUGUUUGUCAGGGAGGUGGAAAAUUUGAGGUAUAACUACAGUGGUGUCUCUUGGUAUUAACAUUUUUUGUAUUUCCCUCCCUCUAGAGCCCCUUGCCCUGCCAGUUCCUGCAUGCCAAGCACCUUCUGCUCACGCAGCUGAUGAAUGCGUGAAAAAGCAGCUGACCAGGAGAGGGACUCGUAAGCAGCUGCUAAGAUGGGCAUGAGGAUCAAGUUGCAUAGCACCAAUCACCCCAACAACCUGCUGAAGGAGCUCAACAAGUGCAGGCUCUCUGAGACCAUGUGCGACGUCACCAUCCUGGUGGGCUCCCGCUCCUUUGCUGCACACAAGGCUGUUCUGGCCUGCGCUGCCGGGUACUUCCAGAACCUCUUUCUGAACACAGGGCUGGACACUGCCAGGACCUACGUCGUGGAUUUCAUCACACCAGCCAACUUUGAGAAGAUCCUCAGCUUCGUGUACACCUCGGAGCUCUUCACAGACCUCAUCAAUGUGGGUGUCAUCUAUGAGGUGGCAGAGCGGCUGGGGAUGGAAGACCUGCUGCAGGCCUGUCACUCCACCUUCCCCGACCUGGAGAACUCAGCCAUCACCAAGCAGCCCUCCCUGGCCACCAGCAAAGGCCGGUCAGGUCCUCUGAGCAGCACCUCCUCAGAGCAGAGCCAUUCUUUGGGUGAGGUCCGGAGUGGUGGGGAGCACUUUGGCCCCGAACGGAAUUACCUCCUGCACGGGGAGGUGUCAGGCACCUACAAAGAGGACGACAGGAAUGCGGUGAAUGAAGCCAGCCAGGCUCUUCCCCUGGUGCACCCACAGCAGCCUCCCAAGGCAGAGCAGGAGCUGGAUCAAGGGCAGUUUGCUCCUGCCACGGGCAUGGCCACCCAGCCCAGCCUGGGUGGUGUGAACAUCGUGGUUCAAACCAGCACCAGCUCCUGCCAGCAGUACAAGGUCCAGAGCAAUGGUGACUAUGGCAAGGCUGGCUUCUUUACCCCUGAUCCUUCCCUGGAUGUCUCCACAGGGAGCAAUUCCUGUCCCAGUAACAGUGACCACUCCAAAGAGCAAGGCUUUGGGCAGAUGGAUGAACUUCAGCUGGAGGAUCUGGGUGAGGAUGAGCUGCAUUUUGAAGAUGCCAGUGAGGAGCUGGGCCCAUCAGAGGAGGUUAUUGAGCUGAGUGAUGACAGUGAGGAGGAGCUGGCCUUCGAGAACGACAGCCGGGAUAGCAAGGCCAUGCCCUGCCAGGUGUGCAAGAAAGUCCUGGAGCCCAACAUCCAGCUGAUCCGCCAGCAUGCUAGGGAUCACGUGGAUCUGCUCACCGGGAAUUGCAAGGUCUGUGAAACCCACUUCCAGGACCGGAACUCCCGGGUCACUCAUGUUCUGUCCCACAUUGGCAUCUUUCUUUUCUCCUGUGACAUGUGUGAGACCAAGUUCUUCACGCAGUGGCAGCUGACCCUCCACCGGCGGGAAGGGGUCUUUGACAACAACAUCAUCGUCCACCCCAGUGACCCCCUGCCCGGGAAGGUCACAGUCCUUGGGGGGGGGCCUGGCUCCGAGCUGGCCUGUGCUGCCUGCGGGAAGCCACUGGCCAAGGAUUUCCACACCAUCCGCAGCCACAUCCUGGACCAUGUGAACUUGAAGAGCCAGAUGUGUUCUGUGUGUGACCAGAGGCACCUCAGCAUCUGCAGCCUGAUGUGGCACACCCUCUCCCACCUGGGCAUCUCGGUCUUCUCCUGCUCUGUUUGUGCCAACAGCUUUGUGGAUCGACACCUCCUGGAGAAGCACUUGGCCGUUCACCAGAAUGUGGAGGAGGCUCUUUUCCGCUGCCACUUCUGUGGCCAGAGCUUCAAGCUAGAAGCAGCCUAUCGUUACCACGUCAGCCAGCACAAGUGUGGGGGCAGCCUGGACAUCCGACCCAGCUUUGGAGACCGGCUCCAUCCGCAGGGCCUGCCGAAGAGAAAGGUGCCAGAGGAGUUCCUGAGUGAAGACCUGGGGCUGCAAACCCAGCCGGGCAACAGCAAGUACAGCUGCAAGGUCUGUGGGAAGAGGUUUGCCCACACCAGCGAGUUCAACUACCACCGGCGGAUCCACACCGGGGAGAAGCCCUACCAGUGCAAGGUGUGCCACAAGUUCUUCCGCGGCCGCUCCACCAUCAAGUGCCACCUGCGGACGCACUCGGGAGCCCUCAUGUACCGCUGCACCGUCUGUGGGCACUACAGCUCCACGCUCAACCUGAUGAGCAAGCACAUCGGGGUGCACAAGGGCAGCCUGCCCCCGGACUUCACCAUCGAGCAGACUUUCAUGUACAUCAUCCAUUCCAAAGAUGCGGAGAAGAACACAGACAGCUGAUGGGGUGAGGCAGGGCCAGCAAAGGAGCAAAAACUAACUACAGAAGCUGUGGAAAGAACGUCGUUUAUUUUAUUUAAUGGUCAGGCAUCAUGGAGGCAAUCCUCCUUUUCUAUUUUUUUAUUAUUUUUUUUGGCCUUAUUAGGGCUUUGUAGAUUGGUGGCAUUGUACAAGUUAACAGCACGUAAGCUACAUCACUGUUUCUGAGAAGUCUGUUGUGUUUACUUACCUCUGGUCCUGUUAGAGGACAUCUAGUUUUGUGUUUUUAGCAUUUCUCACUAGGUUUUCAAUCUAGAUUUUUAUUUUAUUUUAACCUUUUAGCCCACUUGACUAGGCUAACCCUCAGUUUGAGCUUGCCCACAAACUGAUGCUGCUAAGAUUUUUCACACCUGACCUCAGUAGAGAGGGACAGAGCUAGAGCAGGAUGAUGCUGGACUCGAAGAGAAAAAAAAACAAAAACAAAAAAAAGGAAGGAAAAAGGAAAAAAAGGAUUUGUUCUGGGCAUCACUGGGUUCUGCUGCUACUGCGAGGAGAUGAGCAAUGUCACAGAGUCAGCCCUGAGGCUGUUCCCUUGGAGGGUAGAGGAGCAGCACACCCGUCAGGAGAGGUCUGGGCGGAGGCACGGGGGGUGCCCAGUGCUGCUGGGACAGGGAUGUGCCACUCAUUCCUUCCUGGUGUCCCAGAGGUGGCGGAGGGACAGCGCUGCUGCCAGGAGCCAGAGCAGCAGGGCAGGUGAGCAGAGGGAUCCCUGGAGGAGUCACUGGACUGGAGCAAGCAGGGAAUGUGUCAUGGGGCCAACUGCUACUGGGAGAGGUGAUGACACAGGCACACCAGGAGCGUGCUGGCAUCUCCUCGGCUCCUCUGCUGAUGGAGUGGUGCGUGUGGUGCUAUGUCCAUGUGGUGCAUCCCAGGACUGGAAGUGCUGGAUGCCAGAGAGCAGCGGUGCUGCAGCUGCGCGGAUCCCUGCAGACCAGAGGUGAUGAAGCCAUUGCCUUAACUCCCGUAAGGAUGUUGUUCGUGCCAUAUCUGUUCGUUCAUCCUGUCUGGAAUGGUGCUGUACCCUCGACAGGCGCCAGGAGCGGCAGCAGUCUGACCACUGAGAGCCUCGGCUCAGCCUCCCUGGGACAUCAGGUGCAGGAUGGGGGCUCCUCGGGACGGGGGGUCUUCUGGCUGUGCUGGCGAGGUCAGUGUUUACACUGGGAAGGGUGUGGAUUGUUUUUUUCCCAUGUUAUCCUGCUGUGGGGCCGAGGUGGAGAGGAACAAAUAUUUUGGAUGCCGCAGCAUGAUUGUGGCUGCCCUUGGGUAACUCGUUCUACCUCACAAACAGGAAGUGCUUGGGGCUUUCAAGCCACAGUUGUGAAUUGGCUCCUGUGCUUCUGAAAAGAUAAUGCUGUUAGGAAACAAAACUCAUGAUUUGCAAACCCCAUAAACUCAUCCCGCUUUCCCCUCUUCUGGAAGGGACAGCCCAUGGCAGAGGAGUGGUGCGGGUGGGAUGCGUGGUUGGUGAAAUGGGAAUUCCUGGGGGUUGCUCCCCUGCGCCAGUGUGGCCUUGGGCAAGUCACUUCACCUCUUUGCCUCAGUUUCCUCGUCUGUAAAAUGAGGGUGGUGGCACUUGUGGCACCUACCUACCUCCCGGGAGUGCGGCGAAGGUUGCUGCUCGUACCUGCCAGGCAUGGUGAGCACAUCCCAGGGAAGUGGCAACCUCCGUCCUCUCCUAUACCAGUUCCUCAACCUGGUGGGGUCAUCCCUGUUGCAGGGAGGAGGAAGAGACUGAGGCUGUUGGGAUUUUGUGUCCUUUUCCUAAUAUUGUGUAAUAUUGGUUGGGUUUAGGGCCAAGUGACUUGGCCCUGGGGAGCGUUCAUCUGAAUUUGUGCUGGUUUCAGUGCCUGGAGCCCAUUUCCAGAGGAGGAGGGGCACCAAUGCUGAUCCUGGGCUGGCUGGCCUGUGCUGCGUCUGCUGCCAGAGCUCUGGUGUCCACACUUUGCUCUCAUGGUGCUGUUUGGUUGCCAGGGUGCAGGUGAUGGUGUCCAGCUGCUUUGAAGAGCCACGUUCAGCCUGAUAAGUUUAAAAAUCUCGUUUUGAGAAGGCGCUCAGGGGAAUGGUGCUUUGCUGGGGACUCCUCUGCACUCCCCAAGUUACAUGGUUCCUUUCCUUGUCGUGGUGGUGGCAAGAUGGGCUGGUGGAUGGGAAUGGAUGUGACCUGCUCUGCUCUGGAGCUAUGAAGGAUGUGGGAGUAGGUGAGUCUUGGAAGAGCCUAGUCCUUGCAGCCUCAAGACCCUUCUAAAAUGUCCCAGGAGCUGGGAUCAGCUUUUGGGUGAGUUGGGGUGCUGCCCCACAGAAGUGUCUGCAGCCCCAUAUCUCACUAAGCUGUGAAGCAAAAGCCUUUUGUGCACAUAAACCAAAAAGUGAAGCUUUUACACUGAAACGGUAACGGGCAAGGCAAGUCCACCCUUCUGGACCCAGGGUUGGGAAGGCAAAAGCCCGCCCUGUUUCCUGCUAGAGGUUUGGGUGUGAGGACGGGGUCAGUGCUUGGUCCCUGGCAUUUCUCUCUUGGAUUCUUUCCUGUGUUAUAACAAAUUAUUCCCAUGUGGAACAUCCUGAGAUCAGCAGCGAGUCCUGAUUGUGGAGGGGAUGCAGGGGUGGAUCUGGACCUGCAGAGCUCCCGCACUGCUGCUGCUCGGAGGGGUUUUCGCAACAGGGGUCAGAGACCUGCACUCCCCUCCCAGCAGCAUCUUGGGCCUCUCUGGGCCAGUGGCCAGUGUCAGGGCUCUGUUGUCCCAGUCCUCUCAGCAGCCUGGGUAUUCCAGAGUCUGGCCAGCCUGGCUGGCAGCUCCAGGGUUCCUGCUGAAAGCCAUGCAGGUGGAGCCAUGGGGCUCAUCCUGAGUCCCUGCAGAGGAGCCGUUGCUCUGGCCUGGCUGUGUCACAGUGGAGGCACCGGUGACAGCCAGAGCCGAGCGUGUGCCAGGGCUGGGCCAAGCGGUGCCGGGGGAGCUGGGUGGGAUCCCAGCUCCUGGCUCCAUUCCUCACUCGCCUCCUGGCCUCCCUUUCCCUCCCUUGGUGUGGGGACAACACUUACCUACCUCUCCCGGGGUGGCUGUGAGGUUCAACUCAUGUUUGCAAAGUGCGCCGGGACCCGCGGGGUGCGGAGGGGAAUCACUUCCCCACGGGCGGUGCCGGUGGCGUCAGGAGAGCAGCCAGAUCACGGCACUUCAUGGAAGUCCUGACAACCCCCCUCCCAACGGCAGCGCCUCGAGACCACUCUGACCCCGGCUGUGAAAUCACAAAGUUCAGUUUUGUUCUCCCCUUUCUCAAAGGAUCCAGGUCUCAUCAGAAUGAUGAAGCAGAAGAAAGAAAAGAGUUGAAUUGCUGUCUAACCUUUUUUGUUAAGUUAAUAGUAGGUACUGACCUCCUGAUAUUUAAGUGUUUACUAUCUAUUUGCUGUAAAGUUUUGUAUAUUUUGUAAACUUCCCCCCAAAUAGUAGAUGUCUAAAAUCGUUGUACAUCGGGUUCUUUUAUACUCCAUUGUUCAGCACAAAGUGUGUUUUUUAUUUAGAAUAAUAAAAUGGAAAAUGUUGA